UACGAAGGGGGCUAGCGUUGCUCGGAAUCACUGGGCGUAAAGGGUGCGUAGGCGGGUCUUUAAGUCAGGGGUGAAAUCCUGGAGCUCAACUCCAGAACUGCCUUUGAUACUGAGGAUCUUGAGUUCGGGAGAGGUGAGUGGAACUGCGAGUGUAGAGGUGAAAUUCGUAGAUAUUCGCAAGAACACCAGUGGCGAAGGCGGCUCACUGGCCCGAUACUGACGCUGAGGCACGAAAGCGUGGGGAGCAA
rnacentral:rRNA from 1 species